UUCAAACAAAACUAGAAGUCUUGAAAGGCAAUUUAUCUCUAGUUACAAGUAGUUUCCAUUUGUCCCUACAACUCGGAAAACUACGUCUUCUUGAAUGGGUCUAGACGGCAUUGUCUUAUUAAUUAUCUGAAACUAAUGGCUGUCAACCACCACGCGGUUUACUGUAUUUUUAUUUCUUGAGCUAUCAAAAGUAUCUUCAUCAACUCUUCUUAUCAAUUAGGAAUCAAACAAUUAGGUUGGUCUCAGUUCAUCUUUGUUAGAAAAAUGUAUCUUUUUCUUUGCAGAAUCUUGCGUUUCUUAACUUGCUUCCAUUGAUAUCCGAUAAAUUGUUGAAAGCUGGACUGCAAAGCAACAUGUGGCCAGCAGCAUGGUUGGCUGUCGAGCUUGGUGUGCAAGACUGAAGCUGAACCAGAUAAAGCAAUCAACUUUGGAUGUUUUGUUCUUUUGUAACUUAGUUUAGUUCAACUUUAACUAGUUUCCAAAGUUAGUUGGAUUAAGUUUGUGAUUGGAUUGAUGAUGUAAAAGCUGAUAUGUCAGCUUAUUUUGUAUUUGACUUAAGCUUGUAUUAGUUUAGUUUAAGUGGGAGCAGUUAUGUCAUUAGGUAACUGUCAAAUGAAUCAAAUUUGUAACUCUUUUAUAUAUUCAAAUUUUGAAUGAAAGAUUGGGGUGUUCAGUUACAAUUUGCUGAA